UGGCUAGGAGAACGCUGUGCGGCGUGCCUAAUACAUGCAAGUAGAACUAUAAAGAGAGGAGCUUGCUCUUCUUGGAUGAGUUGCGAACGGGUGAGUAACGCGUAGGUAACCUGCCUUGUAGCGGGGGAUAACUAUUGGAAACGAUAGCUAAUACCGCAUAACAAUGGAUGACACAUGUCAUUUAUUUGAAAGGGGCAAUUGCUCCACUACAAGAUGGACCUGCGUUGUAUUAGCUAGUAGGUGAGGUAAUGGCUCACCUAGGCGACGAUACAUAGCCGACCUGAGAGGGUGAUCGGCCACACUGGGACUGAGACACGGCCCAGACUCCUACGGGAGGCAGCAGUAGGGAAUCUUCGGCAAUGGGGGCAACCCUGACCGAGCAACGCCGCGUGAGUGAAGAAGGUUUUCGGAUCGUAAAGCUCUGUUGUAAGUCAAGAACGGGUGUGAGAGUGGAAAGUUCACACUGUGACGGUAGCUUACCAGAAAGGGACGGCUAACUACGUGCCAGCAGCCGCGGUAAUACGUAGGUCCCGAGCGUUGUCCGGAUUUAUUGGGCGUAAAGCGAGCGCAGGCGGUUUGAUAAGUCUGAAGUUAAAGGCUGUGGCUCAACCAUAGUUCGCUUUGGAAACUGUCAAACUUGAGUGCAGAAGGGGAGAGUGGAAUUCCAUGUGUAGCGGUGAAAUGCGUAGAUAUAUGGAGGAACACCGGUGGCGAAAGCGGCUCUCUGGUCUGUAACUGACGCUGAGGCUCGAAAGCGUGGGGAGCGAACAGGAUUAGAUACCCUGGUAGUCCACGCCGUAAACGAUGAGUGCUAGGUGUUGGAUCCUUUCCGGGAUUCAGUGCCGCAGCUAACGCAUUAAGCACUCCGCCUGGGGAGUACGACCGCAAGGUUGAAACUCAAAGGAAUUGACGGGGGCCCGCACAAGCGGUGGAGCAUGUGGUUUAAUUCGAAGCAACGCGAAGAACCUUACCAGGUCUUGACAUCCCGAUGCUAUUUCUAGAGAUAGAAAGUUACUUCGGUACAUCGGUGACAGGUGGUGCAUGGUUGUCGUCAGCUCGUGUCGUGAGAUGUUGGGUUAAGUCCCGCAACGAGCGCAACCCCUAUUGUUAGUUGCCAUCAUUCAGUUGGGCACUCUAGCGAGACUGCCGGUAAUAAACCGGAGGAAGGUGGGGAUGACGUCAAAUCAUCAUGCCCCUUAUGACCUGGGCUACACACGUGCUACAAUGGUUGGUACAACGAGUUGCGAGUCGGUGACGGCGAGCUAAUCUCUUAAAGCCAAUCUCAGUUCGGAUUGUAGGCUGCAACUCGCCUACAUGAAGUCGGAAUCGCUAGUAAUCGCGGAUCAGCACGCCGCGGUGAAUACGUUCCCGGGCCUUGUACACACCGCCCGUCACACCACGAGAGUUUGUAACACCCGAAGUCGGUGAGGUAACCUUUUGGAGCCAGCCGCCUAAGGUGGGACAGAUGAUUGGGGU
rnacentral:rRNA from 1 species